CUUCAUUCCAGCCGUGCAACUCCAAGGAAAAACAAGACCAAGUUCUUCAUUUUUCCUUCAUCAAAUCUUCAUCAAACCUCUUCCAAUUCACUCCAAAUUCGAACUACACUUAACUAAACAUUUAGAGAUCCCAUUGAGCUAAGAAAAGGAGCUGCUAUCCAUGGUUUUCUUGAGCAUCUAAGGGGCCGAAAUUUCUGCCUUCAUCCUCUAAUCAAGCGCUCAAGGGGACCUUCAAGAGGAACUCGAAGUGGACGUCUAGACAUUUGUUUGAGUAUUACUCUCUUGUUGGUAUAGGGUUCGAGACCAAGGGUGCUCGUGAGUAGUACUAGAUUGUUCUCUUUUGAAGACUUUGAGUUACAUUAUAACGGAUGGCUAUAGUACUCUUUUCCGUUGGAUUGUAUUUAAGUUUGAAAGCUACAUAGUUGUAAGUGUAAGAUAUUUGAAGUACUUUAAUUAUGUAUUGAAGUUACUUAUAGUAUUUCGAGCUCUUGAAUGAUGGAUUGUAGUGAGUCCUGGCGAGAGCUGGGCAGGCGUUCCGCGGAUACCCUUUGGUUCGCCUUAGGGAGAAGUGGGGGCGUCACAAGCUUUCCCGCACUCAUUUUGGCUCCAA